rnacentral:tmRNA from 1 species
GGGGAUGUUUUGGAUUAGACAGGAUGUUCCGAUUGAGGCAGAUUGCGAGUCCGAGCGCUGUUCUCGGUUAUCAACGAGCAACACAAAUUAAAUGCUAACGUUGUAAAAGGCAACUUCGCACCUAGAUACGCUCUAGCUGCUUAGUUAUUUAGCUACUCAUAUUGCCCAGCUUGCCGGUGGUAUGGGUCAAUUAUGCAAGACGCAGUGCGGUAAUGACGGUAACCGCAUCAAGUUAACCGUUAGAGGUUUAGAGUUUCCUUUAAAUAAAACCUAGGGCUGAGUUAUAAGGUAGUGAUUUAUCCCGACUCAGUUGAGCGAAUGAAAAUCUACACUCGUAGAGGUUUGUUUUAAUCCAUUUUGGACAGGGGUUCGACUCCCCUCAUCUCCAU